rnacentral:misc_RNA from 1 species
UCCGGGUGAAUUUAAUUUUCGUCAUCUAAAUGGUCCCAUGGAAUUGUGUCUUGACCAACAAACUAUCGUGGAGCCAUACACUGUUCCAAUUCAGAUGGCGCCAUUCCCAAAACAAAUACUAUUGAACCUUGCUGAUAUUGCCGAGUUGCCAAACAGGACUUUAGUCGACAUUAUGGCUGUUGUAGUCCACUUGGAUACAAUACAUCGCACAAUGUGGGGCCCUUUCAGAAAGAUUGUGAUAAUGGAUGCUAGGGGAUAUUUACAUAUCAUUAAAGUUUGGGGUGACCUACUAAACAAAAAUGCACUCCGCUGGGCGUUGGCUAAGGAGGAUUAUGGCAUAAUAAUUGGGACUAUGUUUAGACGGUUCAGAAGACAAGAGUGCCUCGAGUCUUCGGAUCAUACCGCAAUACACUUCAAUCCGUUCCAUCACAACACCCAUCAUUUUCGACCAAUCCAAAAAGCUUUGGUGGCGCUGAACAACCGUCAGUUUGCUGUUACAUUUCUUGAAGAAGAAAGGCGUAGAUAGAUUCUACAAAUUCGCAAAGAGCAAUAAUUGGGACUAUGUUUAGGCGUAGAGAGAUUUGAUAGAAUACGUGUCGUACUGUUAUUGAGCAACCAAACGCAACAAGAGGCAAACUUGUAUGUCUAUGAAUCUUGUUUGUAAUACCUAUGACAUGGGUUUAAUAAGAGAUAUUUUGUGAA